CGGCUCUUUUCCUGAAAGAAACAACCGCUGCGCAAGAACAUCCAGUAUGCAUGAGUUCUCUUAAAAUCUCAAAGGGUUCACAGAGCAGCACUAUUGCACUGAAGAUGUUCAAGAGGCGAGUAAACAUUUGCUCCUCAAGCUCAUCCAUCUGUGCACAACAGCAACUCUGCUGCCUGGAUGCGUACUCACAGUUCUAGCUUCCACACGGCAGAUGGCCCUCCCAUGCAUCUGAAAGAGAAAGGAACAAGAGCCCAACCAUCACACAAACACUGACGACUGCGGCGUAAAUCUUCACAUCCAGCAGUGCUUGAAAACACAGACGCAAACACAAAAUUCUAAGUUGUCUUUGAAUUUCUUUAAAAUUGCAUACUUUUUUGUCACUUGGGUUACCAAACAGAAUGGAAUGGCAAAAAGAAUAUUCACAAACACCUCCUUUGUCCUUCAUUGCUAAGUCAAACAGACUGUUCCACCCUAUUUCACUAGACUCUACUGAGGCUCAUAUAUUGCUGAUAAAACCUUGUCUGACAAUGAAGAUUACCAUAUACUGGCCUGAGAGCCAUAUACUUUGUAUACUUAACUUAUUUGAG
ensembl:lncRNA